ACCAAGAUGUCACAGUUUGUAGUAGUAUGUCGUCCAAAAAAAUCACCAAAAAGUUAUAGUUUAGUAUGUCGUCCAAAAAGUCAUAGUUUAGUAUGUCGUCCGAAAUGUCAUAGUUUAGUAUGUCGUCCAAAAAAGCACAAAACGGUGUGUAAUGACGUUCCUGCAUUACUGAGGGGACCAAUUCCACAAAGAAGCUCAAUAUGUUGAAGACACGGGAAAUAAAAUCAACCAUGGAUAAGGAGAAGUCACAUGACUGUGAUGUGGGAUAAUCGGACAGGACAGACAAGGGGGAAGGGGAAGAUGGAGGAGUCACUGGGAAAGAGAGGCAGAGAGAGAGAGAGACAAGAACAAUGACACCAGAGAGACAGUACAGUCAGUGCAGAACAGAUGCUGUCGUCUGCAGAGGAAGGAAGCAAAGUAUUUUGAAGGCACGAAAGUCUACAGAUUGCACCUCCCACUCUCCGUCUGUCUGUCCGUGUGUUUUGCCUA